AGUGAAUCUAAACUAAAAUGGCGUUUUAAUGUCAGAGUUAGUGUUGAUGUUAGUGUAACUCUGUCAGUGUCAGUGUUAGUGCAGGAGGUUUUUGUUCAGCCGCUCAUUGGGUUUGUAUCACUGUGGUGGACGUUUGGUGGAGGAACACGACUCUCAGUUGGAACUGGCACUCGCCCCACUCUCACGGUUCUGCCUCCCUCCAGAGGCGAGCUGCAGCAGGGUAAGGCUACAGUGCUGUGUUUGGCCAGUAAGGGAUUUCCGUCUGACUGGAAGCUGAGCUGGAGGGUGGAUGGCGGUAGCAGGAGCUCUGCUGUGAAUCUGAGUCCCAGUGUUCUGCAGAAGGAUGGACUGUACAGCUGGAGCAGCAGCCUGAGUCUCACUGAGAGUGAGUGGAGCAGAGCAACAACCAUCAGCUGUGAAGCCACACACACAUCCCAGAAUGCAGUGACCGAGAGCCUGAACACACAGCGGUGUGAUGAUGACCAGUGAAACACACACAUCACACAAAGACAUAUAGCAUGCAUAAUCACUUAUUCAUACACAUACACACAAUCACAAACUUACAAAUGACUGUCCUAAAUCAGUCAAUGCUCAACAAUUAAUCUUUUGUUCUGUUAGUAUAAUGAUCAAAUAUUCUUAGCUGUUGUAUUAGCGGUGCUUUGUUGUUUUAUUGCUGCCAAAUAAAAGCUUUUU